GCCAGGCCUAACACAUGCAAGUCGAACGGUAACAGGCCUUCGGGCGCUGACGAGUGGCGAACGGGUGAGUAAUGCAUCGGAACGUGCCCAGUCGUGGGGGAUAACGCAGCGAAAGCUGUGCUAAUACCGCAUACGAUCUGCGGAUGAAAGCGGGGGACCUUCGGGCCUCGCGCGAUUGGAGCGGCCGAUGUCAGAUUAGGUAGUUGGUGGGGUAAAGGCCCACCAAGCCGACGAUCUGUAGCUGGUCUGAGAGGACGACCAGCCACACUGGGACUGAGACACGGCCCAGACUCCUACGGGAGGCAGCAGUGGGGAAUUUUGGACAAUGGGCGCAAGCCUGAUCCAGCAAUGCCGCGUGCAGGAAGAAGGCCUUCGGGUUGUAAACUGCUUUUGUACGGAACGAAAAGGUCUGGGUUAAUACCCUGGGCUCAUGACGUACGUAGAAUAGCCG
rnacentral:rRNA from 1 species